rnacentral:lncRNA from 1 species
AUCAACAAGGAGUCCAUGGGGCGUCCAACUCUUGAACACCCCCUCCCUUAUAAAUUUCAUGGAGAUCAGGAUAAGAUGCUUAAAAGAGGCAAUAAAAUGAUAGGAUAGGCUUGGGGAAAGUUGGUGCAAGAGAGGAGGGAAGAGUCCUUGUGAAGAGGGACUCUUUCAAAAAAAGAAUAAGCCUAAACCACCUUCCAUAAUUAACCAA